rnacentral:rRNA from 1 species
AUUGAACGCUGGCGGCAUGCCUUACACAUGCAAGUCGAACGGCAGCACGGACUUCGGUCUGGUGGCGAGUGGCGAACGGGUGAGUAAUAUAUCGGAACAUACCUUGUAGUGGGGGAUAACUAUCCGAAAGGAUAGCUAAUACCGCAUACGCUCUAAGGAGGAAAGCGGGGGAUCGUAAGACCUCGUGCUAUAAGAGUGGCCGAUAUCUGAUUAGCUAGUUGGUGAGGUAAAGGCUCACCAAGGCGACGAUCAGUAGCUGGUCUGAGAGGACGACCAGCCACACUGGGACUGAGACACGGCCCAGACUCCUACGGGAGGCAGCAUGGGGAAUUUUGGACAAUGGGGGCAACCCUGAUCCAGCAAUGCCGCGUGUGCGAAGAAGGCC